AUGUGCCAGGGGCAGAGCCAAGGGCCGCUGCCCAGGGCAGGGGAGGGUGAGCGGCCCUGCCUGGCUCUGAAUCCUAGCCCUGCCUCUGACUGGCUGUGCUACCUAAUUGCUCUGUGCCUCAGUUUCCCCAUCUGUCUAACGGGGAUAGCCACAACUCCUACAGCCCCAGACCGAGGGAGGAUUCAGUGGGUCCUUUCACGUGAGGGCCCAGGACCCUGCCCGGCCCAGAGCAGCCGUUCCCUCCGCCAGGGCUGUCUGAUCAGCGCUCAGGAGGCGGCAGGGUUUCGGGAGAGUCCGGCGUGCACCAGGCUCUGGGUGGGAGCGUUUGCCAUCAGGAAGGGUGUUUCCAAACCCAGCUGUUCAUCAGGGUCCCCCGGAGACCUUCAAAAAACGCAUCCCACAGAUAGCGAGUGUCUACUUUCCCUCGUAGGCGUGCUCUUCAGAAGCUCCGGCCAGGGUGGGCUUGCGGGGCUCCACUCUGGGCUCUACCACCGGAGGCUGAUCCCGGGAAAAGUAACCCGACCUCACUGGGACUCAGUUUCUCGUUCUGCCAACGGGCUCUCUCGGGGCUGCUGCCAGGACGGAAGGGGCGAGUGCCCUCAGGUCCCAGAGUGGCCCCGUGUCCCCCACUGGCCCUGGCAGCAGCUCUCCCGUUUGUCCCCUCUACCUGCCCUGAGCCCUGAGCCCUUUGCCCUGAGCCCCGGCACAGAGGUUUUCAUGCUGACGUCUCCAGACCACGGCCAUCCUGUCCUCCUUCUGGGAGAAGCGCUACCUCUGCUCCCCCUGCAGGGCUCCUCCCAGUGGAUCUGUCCCCUGGCCCUCCGGGCACGCCCAAGGAGCAACGGCUUGUCUCUGGCAAGUGGGUGAAGCCACCAGGUCAGUUUUGCAAGUGGGCCAGGGGAGGCUGGGGAUGGGGCGCUUCUCUCUGGAAUUCUUCGGGAGCCCCCCAAAGUAGACACAGAAGAGACUGGUGUCCUCCGUGAAUUCAUCUCGGUGGGUGGCUCUGGGAGGGCAGAGGGGCAUCAGGACCCCAGGGGACUUGCAGGGAGAGUCCGGGCUGAAGGGGCACAGCCCCCAGCGUCUGGGCUUUCAUGGAUUGGUCAAAUCCGCCUCUCACCACCUUGGGACCACUUGGGUUGACAAACUCUUUAUUUUGCCAGUUGAGGAUAUAAAAACUGUGGCCAAAAAUAGACUGCCACUGUCAUAUCAUAAAAGGAAGGGAAGUGACAUAAUCUCAGAUUAAAGAACAGUAUUUUCCAAGAAAGAGCAGUUAGUCACUUUACUAGAAGUUUCUGCGUUGGACAGUGACAGUCUGGGGGGGCAGCGAGCAGGGGACGUGGCUCUGGGACCAGGGGUGGGAACCACUGGUGGGGUGAGUCCAGCAGUGGGGAGAGACCCCCUGCCCUGCUCCUUCCCCUCUGGGUGGGGGACCUUGUGUGGAGCCAUGAGUCCAGUUCUGGGGUGCAGGAAGUGGGGGGAAACCAGGGUGGCUAAUACCUGAAACCACCUCAGGGGGCAGAGACACCAGGCUUGAGGAUACUUCCCCUGCUUAAGUCCUGGUGCCAUGCUAACUAGCUGUGUGACUUUGAGAAGUUGCUCAACCUCUCUGGGCCUCCGUGUUUUCAUUUGUGUACUGAUGGUGCCCAUCUGCCACGGUGGUUGAAAGGAUUAAAUGAAUUAAUACACAGAGAGCCUCAGAAUACUCUCCGAGGUACAGAAUUCAAUCUAUCUGUGGGUUAAAAAAAAACAAAGAACAGGCGCCAAAUGGAGUCACCUGUGUUAAGCUCCAUAUGAGCAAACCAAGACGUAAUUGCAGUCUUGACCUCUCCUGGGAAUGUGACCUUUAACCAGCUGAUCUGGAAUUUCCUGGUCAGCGUUGGGGGGAGGCCAUCUGCCUGAUAGGCCUCUUCAUCCCCCCCAAGAAAGUGAGGCGAUCUUCUCUUUCCUUGUCUCUGCUCCCUUCUGCCUGUAAAAGUCUCCUGUCUGUGCGGCUCUGUGGAGCUACUUUGUAGCCGCUGGAAGGGAUGCUGCUGGAUGCGUGACUUGUUGAAUAAAGCCAAGUUGAUCUUUCA
rnacentral:lncRNA from 1 species